rnacentral:rRNA from 1 species
GGUUGAUCCUGCCGGACCCACUGCUAUCGGGAUGGGACUAAGACAUGCUUGUCGUGCGCUUCUAGCCAUGCUGGAGGCGCGGCACACAGCUCAGUAACACGUGGCUAACCUGCCCUUGGGACAGAAACAACCCCGGGAAACUGGGGACAAUUUCCGAUAGGUGAAGACUCCUGGAAUGGAUUUUCGCCCAAAAGACAUUUGGGUCAUGCUUCCAAGUGUUGCCCAAGGAUGGGGCCGCGGCCGAUCAGGUUGUUGGUGAGGUAAUGGCUCACCAAGCCUUUGACCGGUUCGGGCCGCGGGAGCGGUAGCCCGGAGAUGGGCACUGAGACAAGGGCCCAGGCCCUACGGGGCGCAGCAGUCGCGAAAACUUCGCAAUAAGCGAAAGCUUGACGGGGCCAUCCCGAGUGCCAUCUGCUGAGGAUGGCUUUUACCCAGUAUAGAUAGCUGGGGGAAUAAGGAGAGGGCAAGUCUGGUGUCAGCCGCCGCGGUAAUACCAGCUCUCCGAGUUGUGGGGACGUUUAUUGAGCCUGAAGCAUCCGUAGCCGGCUGGGCAAGUCCCCUGUUAAAUCCAGCGACUAAUCGUUGGCCUGCGGGGGAUACUGCUCGGCUAGGGGGCGGGAGAGGGCGU